AUUGAACGCUGGCGGUAUGCCUUACACAUGCAAGUCGAACGGUAGAGGGGCAACCCUUGAGAGUGGCGAACGGGUGAGUAAUACAUCGGAACGUGCCCAGUCGUGGGGGAUAACGUAGCGAAAGCUACGCUAAUACCGCAUACGACCUGAGGGUGAAAGCGGGGGAUCGCAAGACCUCGCGCGAUUGGAGCGGCCGAUGGCAGAUUAGGUAGUUGGUGGGGUAAAGGCCUACCAAGCCUGCGAUCUGUAGCUGGUCUGAGAGGACGACCAGCCACACUGGGACUGAGACACGGCCCAGACUCCUACGGGAGGCAGCAGUGGGGAAUUUUGGACAAUGGGCGAAAGCCUGAUCCAGCCAUACCGCGUGCGGGAAGAAGGCCUUCGGGUUGUAAACCGCUUUUGUCGGGGAAGAAAUCUUCUGGGUUAAUACCUCGGGAGGAUGACGGUACCUGAAGAAUAAGCACCGGCUAACUACGUGCCAGCAGCCGCCGUAACAC
rnacentral:rRNA from 1 species